GUGGCGUUCAGGGUUAGGUCUGCCGAGGUCCCGCGGCAGGAGAGCCCGGGGACUGCAUGCGUCUGCGCAGCUGCGAGGUUAAGCCGCCCUUUGGCGGUCCCCAGGACGGUUCCUGGUGCCAGACGGUCCCAGUAAGUGCUGUCUACGUUAUUAUUUGGAAGAAUGCACCUCAGAUGUUAACUAUUUUCUUAAUAUAACAUCCGGCCUGGGCAAGGUGGCUUAUGCCUGUAAUCCCAGCACUUUAGGAGACCGAGGCAGGUGGAUCACUUGAGGCCAGGAGUUUGAGACCAGCCUGGCCGUGGUGAAACCCCGAAUCUACUAAAAAUAUAAAAAUUGGCCGAGCAUGGCGGCUCAUGCCUGUAAUCCCAGCUACUUGGGAGGAUGAGGCAGAAGAAUGGCUUGAACCUGGGAGGUGGAGGUUGCAGUGAGCCGAGAUCUCACCACUGCACUCCAGCCUGGGCGACAGAGUGAGACUGUCUCAAAAAAAAAUUUUUGUUAUUAUAAUAAACUGUAUUUUGUGCAAGCCAU
rnacentral:lncRNA from 1 species